AGUGAACGCUGGCGGUAGGCCUAACACAUGCAAGUCGAACGGCAGCACAGUAAGAGCUUGCUCUUACGGGUGGCGAGUGGCGGACGGGUGAGGAAUACAUCGGAAUCUACUUUUUCGUGGGGGAUAACGUAGGGAAACUUACGCUAAUACCGCAUACGACCUACGGGUGAAAGCAGGGGAUCUUCGGACCUUGCGCGAUUGAAUGAGCCGAUGUCGGAUUAGCUAGUUGGCGGGGUAAAGGCCCACCAAGGCGACGAUCCGUAGCUGGUCUGAGAGGAUGGUAAGCCACACUGGAACUGAGACACGGUCCAGACUCCUACGGGAGGCAGCAGUGGGGAAUAUUGGACAAUGGGCGCAAGCCUGAUCCAGCCAUACCGCGUGGGUGAAGAAGGCCUUCGGGUUGUAAAGCCCUUUUGUUGGGAAAGAAAAGCAGCAGGUUAAUACCCCGCUGUUCUGACGGUACCCAAAGAAUAAGCACCGGCUAACUUCGUG
rnacentral:rRNA from 1 species